rnacentral:rRNA from 1 species
UACGUAGGGUGCAAGCGUUGUCCGGAAUUAUUGGGCGUAAAGAGCUCGUAGGCGGUUUGUUGCGUCGGCUGUGAAAUCCCGAGGCUCAACCUCGGGUCUGCAGUCGAUACGAGCAAACUAGAGUGUUGCAGGGGAGACUGGAAUUCCUGGUGUAGCGGUGAAAUGCGCAGAUAUCGGGAGGAACACCGGUGGCGAAGGCGGUUCUCUGGGCCUUACCUGACGCUGAGGAGCGAAAGCAUGGGGAGCGAACAGG